rnacentral:rRNA from 1 species
AGAGUUUGAUCCUGGCUCAGGACGAACGCUGGCGGCGUGCUUAACACAUGCAAGUCGAGCGAUGAAGCUCCUUCGGGAGUGGAUUAGCGGCGGACGGGUGAGUAACACGUGGGUAACCUGCCUCAUAGAGGGGAAUAGCCUUUCGAAAGGAAGAUUAAUACCGCAUAAGAUUGUAGUACCGCAUGGUACAGCAAUUAAAGGAGUAAUCCGCUAUGAGAUGGACCCGCGUCGCAUUAGCUAGUUGGUGAGGUAACGGCUCACCAAGGCGACGAUGCGUAGCCGACCUGAGAGGGUGAUCGGCCACAUUGGGACUGAGACACGGCCCAGACUCCUACGGGAGGCAGCAGUGGGGAAUAUUGCACAAUGGGGGAAACCCUGAUGCAGCAACGCCGCGUGAGUGAUGACGGUCUUCGGAUUGUAAAGCUCUGUCUUUAGGGACGAUAAUGACGGUACCUAAGGAGGAAGCCACGACUAACUACGUGCCAGCAGCCGCGGUAAUACGUAGGUGGCAAGCGUUGUCCGGAUU